CAGAGACUUCGUGCCAGCAUCAGAAAAUGGAGAAGGCCAUGCACUCAGCCAGAUUUCUGUCGUGCUUCCAUUUCACCAAGGUUGAUGCCCACAUGCUCUUCUGACCAGCUUGAAUGUGAGAAACAAAAUUAAAGGCGCAUUCAGAAGGGAAGAGCCGGUGAAGCCACGAGACCCAGAAAGCAACCUCUAGGGGUCAGAACCUUACAGGACACUUGGCCCUAAAAGCGAAGUUCCUGAACAUUCUUCCUCCACACACACAGUGGGAUCCCGCCCGUGACUCCCUGAGAGGAAACUAACGGGGAGGAGCCCUGGGAGCGGGCUCUGCGUGGACAGAGGGUACUCGGGGCUCAGCAUCUCCUCUCCACCAAUCCCCACCGUCCUCUGUGACCUGACCCAGAGCCACAGGAGGCUGCAUUGGCAGUGGCAGGUGGACAAAGACCUGCCCAGCCACGGACAGCCUUAACCCUUUCCAGACAACCUGGGGAAAUAAGGAAAAGCUGACUGGAAAUGAGGUGGAGGAAGAUGGACGGUUGGGAGGACCAAGGAAGAAAGAUGGAGACCUGAAGGCAAACGAAAGAAAGGAAAUAG